AUUUAUAUAGUUUAAAAAAAACUCUAUAUUUUCAAUAUAAAAAUAAUUAUAUAAUUUAUAAAUA
rnacentral:tRNA from 1 species